GUGCUCAUUUCAGCAGCACAUUUACUAAAAUUGGAACAAUACAGAGAGGAUUGGUGUGGCCCAUGUGCAAGGAUGACAUGUAAAUUUGUGAAGUGUUCCAUAUUUUU